GACGUAGGAGGCGAGCGUUGUCCGGAUUCAUUGGGCGUAAAGGGUGCGUAGGCGACGCGGUAAGUCGGAUGUGAAAUCUCGGAGCUUAACUUCGAAACUGCAUUCGAUACUGCCGUGCUUGAGGACUGGAGAGGAGACUGGAAUUUACGGUGUAGCAGUGAAAUGCGUAGAUAUCGUAAGGAAGACCAGUGGCGAAGGCGAGUCCUCUGGACAGUUACUGACGCUGAGGCACGAAGGCCAGGGGAGCAAACGGG
rnacentral:rRNA from 1 species